rnacentral:rRNA from 1 species
UACGAAGGGGGGCUAGCGUUGCUCGGAAUCACUGGGCGUAAAGGGUGCGUAGGCGGGUUCUUAAGUCAGAGGUGAAAUCCUGGAGCUCAACUCCAGAACUGCCUUUGAAACUGUUGGGCUUGAGGCCGGGAGAGGGUAGUGGAAUUCCCAGUGUAGCGGUGAAGAUGCGUAGAUACGUGGGAGGAACACCAGUGGCGAAGGCGGCUACCUGGACCGGUUCUGACGCUGAGGCGCGAAAAGCGUGGGGGAGCGAACAGG